rfam:Daphnia pulex DAPPTscaffold_1656_Cont13283, whole genome shotgun sequence.
GCAUCGAUGUUUCAGUGGUAGAAUGCUCGCUUGCCACGUGGGCGGCCCGGGUUCGAUUCCCGGUCGAUGCA